rnacentral:rRNA from 1 species
UCUUUGUCUCCGCCCGGCGACCGGCGGCACGGUGAGUAACGACGUAUGCAACCUCGCCCGUUUCCUAGCGGGACGAACCCGACCCGAAAGGACGGGCGUAAACCCGACGUACAUGCCACCGGGGCGAUCCCGGAGGCAGGAAAGGCUUCGGCCGGACAGGGAUGGGCAUGCGGCGCAUUAGGCAGUAGGCGGGGUAACGGCCCACCUAACCGACGAUGCGUAGGGGUUCUGAGAGGAAGGUCCCCCACACUGGUACUGAGACACGGACCAGACUCCUACGGGAGGCAGCAG